rnacentral:rRNA from 1 species
AUACGUAGGGGGCGAGCGUUGUCCGGAAUGAUUGGGCGUAAAGGGCGCGUAGGCGGCCCGGUAAGUCUGGAGUGAAAGUCCUGUUUUUAAGAUGGGAAUUGCUUUGGUUACUGUCGGGCUUGAGUGCAGGAGAGGUAAGUGGAAUUCCCAGUGUAGCGGUGAAAUGCGUAGAGAUUGGGAGGAACACCAGUGGCGAAGGCGACUUACUGGACUGUAACUGACGCUGAGGCGCGAAAGCGUGGGGAGCGAACAGGAUUAGAUACCCUGGUAGUCCACGCGGUAAACGAUGAAUGCUAGGUGUUGCGGGUAUCGACCCCUGCAGUGCCGGAGUCAACACAAUAAGCAUUCCGCCUGGGGAGUACGGCCGCAAGGUUGAAACUCAAAGGAAUUGACGGGG